GUGUUGUCUAUUUUAUAUGAGUCCUUAUGGAGCAGGUGUAUAUUCUAUAUGGGUCCUUAUGGAGCAAGUGUAUAUUCUAUAUGGGUCCUUAUGGACCAGGUGUUGUCUAUUCUAUAUGGGUCCUUAUGGAGCAGGUAUUGUCUAUUCUAUAUGAGUCCUUAUGGAGCAGGUGUUGUCUAUUCUAUAUGGGUCCUUAUGGAGCAGGUAUUGUCUAUUCUAUGAGUCCUUAUGGAGCAGGUGUUGUCUAUUCUAUAUGAGUCCUUAUGGAGCAGGUGUUGUCUAUUCUAUAUGGGUCCUUAUGGACCAGGUGUUGUCUAUUCUAUACAAGUCCUUAUGGAGCAGUUGUUGUCUAUUCUAUAUGAGUCCUUAUGGA
ensembl:lncRNA